rnacentral:rRNA from 1 species
UAGUCCACGCUGUAAACGAUGAGUGUUAGGUGUCUGGGAGAACCUGGGGUGCCACAGCAAACGCAAUAAACACUCCGCCUGGGGAGUACGCACGCAAGUGUGAAACUCAAAGGAAUUGACGGGGACCCGCACAAGUAGCGGAGCAUGUGGUUUAAUUCGAAGCAACGCGAAGAACCUUACCUAAGCUUGACAUCCCUCGGACCGGUAGUUAAUCCUACCUUCCCUUCGGGGCUGAGGUGAC